GUUUUAAAAACUGUUUCACUACAUAUGUAAGUAUGGUUUUUAAAUAUUCAAUUUAAUACUCAGCUGCGAUGGCAUCUGUUUCAUUCGUGAUAUUAAUUGUACUCCCUGUUUUCUAUUCAUAUUUAAACACACAUUUGUUCUUUGGCUUUUCUUUAAAAUUAUGGAUUUUGUCCAACAAUUUUAAACAUUAAAUUAUUUUUUUGAAUAAUAUUUUAUUUGUCUGGGCAUAUUGUAGCAAACAUAGAAAGACCGCUAGUACCACCCUUAACAAGUUUUUAAAUACUCGGGAAUUUGCAGAUACAUACAGAAGUUCGCCAAAUAUGUUCAUGUAUUAUAUUUAUUUAACUAUGCUUACAUCUGAAAAUGAUAUUUUAAGAACAUUUGUCUUAGUAAUACUAAUUUCUUUGUUUUAACUGUAUGGUAGGUGCAUCCUUCAUGUUAUUUUGAAUAAUUCUCUCUCGCUCUGUCUUUUGCAUUAGUUUGUUCAUAUAAUUUCUAUGAUUCGUUAUAAUACGGAGUAACGA
rnacentral:lncRNA from 1 species